UACGAAGGGGGCUAGCGUUACUCGGAUUGACUGGGCGUAAAGGGCGCGUAGGCGGUUUGUACAGUCAGACGUGAAAUUCCUGGGCUCAACCUGGGGGCUGCGUUUUGAUACGUGCGGACUUGAGUUCGGAAGAGGGUCGUGGGAAUUCCCAGUGUAGAGGUGAAAUUCGUAGAUAUUGGGAAGAACACCGGUGGCGAAGGCGGCGACCUGGUCCGAUACUGACGCUGAGGCGCGAAAGCGUGGGGAGCAAACAGG
rnacentral:rRNA from 1 species